CCAGCUCUUUUAUCUUCCAAAGUAGUACUUAAGUCUUGUAGAAUUCUUAACCUUCCUAAAAUAUCCUCCAAAUUUUACCUUUAAUUUGAAUAGUUGUUGCUCUAUUUAAGAACCUGUACAUUGAAUAAAUAAGUAUACACGAUAUAAAUUGUAAGAGAGAGUGCUUAUCAACCAAACCUAUCCUAACAAAAUAAAAGAAAAAAAAUAACAUACAUCCAUAUUAUGUU
rnacentral:lncRNA from 1 species